GUGGACAGUUCUACUAGGGCGAAGGGACUCUACCGCUUCAUUCCCAGGCCAGACAAGCGACCUCCCACCUCCGACGUCUAGCCUCCGACAGCUUUUGUCUGCGUAUAACAAGAAGAACCUCAACCCAACCGACAUGGUUGCACUCUCAGGUGCCCUCCUAUCCUAGCUAGCAGUAGCAGCUAGCUUAGCUACUGAUCGACGAUGACGAUGAUAUAUAUAAUACCUUUCCAUAUAUACAUGCAGGAGCUCACACGAUCGGACAGGCGCAGUGCUCGAGCUUCAACGACCACAUCUACAACGACACCAACAUCAACUCCGCCUUCGCGGCGUCGCUCAGGGCCAACUGCCCCAGGGCAGGCAGCACCGCCCUUGCGCCGCUGGACACCACGACGCCCAACGCGUUCGACAACGCCUACUACACCAACCUGCUGUCCCAGAAGGGGCUCCUGCACUCGGACCAGGAGCUCUUCAACAGCGGCAGCACCGACAGCACGGUCAGGAGCUUCGCGUCCAGCACGUCGGCCUUCAACAGCGCCUUCGCCACGGCCAUGGUCAAGAUGGGCAACCUCAGCCCCCAGACCGGAACCCAGGGGCAGAUCAGGCGCAGCUGCUGGAAGGUCAACUCGUAAGCUACUAGCUACUACGCCCAAUAUGCAAUGCGUUAUGGCAGGCAGAUCAGAGCCAAUAGGCCUCUCAGCUCGUUCUCUAGCUGUGUACCUGUACGUGUGUGUGACUGGUGUUGGUCGAGUAAGUGUACGUACUACAUGGAUGGUGCAGAGAGAGAGAUAUAUAUCGAUCUGGUGGUGGCCACCUUAUUAUCGCAUGCAUAUGUGUACUGUAUUAGCACGACACUAUUAGACACAUUUAUUGAUGGUACCAUGCUAUGCUUGUAAACGUACCCAGCCAUUGACCUAGAUAUGACACUAUAGUGUCUAAUCGUAUUGUGUGCUAACACCAUAUGCCCAUGUCACACUAUUUCACUUUAAGAGCUCAAAAGGUAUAAAACAUAUCUUUAAUGUUGGGGGUAUGCUUUGUAGCCGAAGAUCCUAAAGAAAGAAACAUCUUCGGCAGAUCCUCUCCAAAGCAGUGCCGAAGCUAUCGUCUAUAAAGCUUCGGCACAGUGACAUGUCUCAAGACGAAGGGGUGAACCGACUUAAAGAUGAAAUGACUUAAAGAUCCAUGAUAUUAUGUGUCAUUAUUGUAGUAGCUUGUAAAGGGCAUAAAUGUAAUUAUACAUAGGUUGCCCCCUGUGCCUAUAAAUAGGUGAACAGUACCCCUGUACUGUUCACGAAAUCCUGUAAUCACUGACACGUCGCGCUUGGAUUAUUGCUUUCCGCCAAGGCGAAGGUAUAAAUGUGCCUAAAUAUUAUGUUAUAAUGUUUGUAUAUUCAUAUAAUAAAAUAUGUGAGUAAGGUUACUUAUUCUUAGUAUAUCUCUCUAUAAUGUUUCAUUUUUAUAUUUUAUUUCAUAUUGUUUUACAAGUCUGACCACGAAGGUGUGACUUUCGUGGUAUUUUGCUCAUGGCCUUCAUCCGAAGUUCAUUAAAUCCUCGGGGAGAUAAUGCUUCAGCGGACGAAGGACAUUAAUAUUUAACAUUUUAUGUUGCCUUGUUCUUAAUUCAUAGCACUUGAGAACAAGUCCCCAACAUUGGCGCCCACCUCCGGUGAACUCACUUCCACUUUUUGAGCUGAUGGCUUCGUUCAAGAACGAAGCUGGAACUGCUUCGGCUCCGAAGCUGAUCCUCCCGAUAACAGGCGGUUCAUGCUCAGAGCCGGCUAACAAGAAACAGAAGAAGGAAGCACAGAGAAGAGUACAACAUGUAGGGGUGCAAGGACCCUUCAUCAAGUCAAGAUGGUCUCACAUCCCAAUUACCUUCUCUCGAGAGGAUCUUCAGCUCAAGGAUUACCCACACAGUGAUGCUAUGGUUAUCUCUUGUGUGAUCAAAGGAUUUCUGGUCCACAAUGUUUUGGUUGAUACAGGCAGUGCAACGGACAUUAUAUUUGUCAAAGUCUUCACACAAAUGCAAGAGCCCGAAGACAAGAUCCAUGAUGCCACACAUCCCCUUUGUGGCUUCGAAGGAAGGCAGAUUGUAGCACUCGGCAAGAUCACAAUGUCAGUAACCUUCGGAUUUAUCAACAACACAAGGACUGAACAAGUUGUGUUUGAUAUUGUUGACAUGGAAUACCCCUACAAUGCAAUCAUUGGUCGUGGUACUCUCAAUGCCUUUGAAGCAAUUCUUCAUCCAGCAUAUCUUUGCAUGAAGAUACCUUCGGACCAAGGGCCCAUUGCUAUUCAUGGAAGUUAGGAAGCUGCCAGAAGGGCCGAAGGAAACUGGACAGACUCAAAAGCAAUCCAUAACAUAGAUGGAGCUGAAGCUUGUGAGCAAUACAAGUACAGAAGAGAGAAAGCUGCUUCGGUCGAUCAGCCGAAGCCCAUGCUCUUAUGCGAUGGCAUAGCAGAGUAGAAGGUGCUAUUGGGAUCUCAACUAUCCGAAGAAAAGGAGAAAACCUUGAUAAGGUUUCUGUUUAACAACAAAGAUGUUUUUGCAUGGUCAGCUAAUGAUCUUUGCGGAGUCAAUAGGGAUGUUAUUGAACACUCGCUCAAUGUUGAUCCAUCCUUCAGACCCAGAAAGCAGAGGCUUCAAAAGAUGUCUGAUGACAAGGCCGAAGGUGCUCGGAAUGAAGUGAAAAGACUCCUCAGCGCUGGAGUCAUCAGAGAAGUAAAAUACCCAGAAUGGCUAGCCAACACUGUUAUGGUAAAAAAGGCCAAUGACAAAUGGAGGAUGUGUAUUGAUUUUACUGACCUCAACAAGGCCUGUCCGAAAGAUGAGUUUCCGUUGCCAAGGAUAGAUUCCCUAGUUGAUGCAUCAGCUUCAUCAGAACUUAUGAGUCUGUUGGAUUGUUAUUCAGGCUAUCAUAAAAUUUGGAUGAAGAAGGAGGAUGAGCCAAAAACCAGCUUCAUAACCCCUAGCGGAACAUAUUGUUACCUUCGGAUGCCUGAGGGGCUCAAGAAUGCUGGAGGAAGCUUCAACAGAAUGACAGCGAAGGUUCUUCACUCUCAGAUAGGCAGAAAUGUGCUAACUUAUGUCGAUAAUAUCAUUGUAAAGAGCACGAAGCAAGAAAAUCACAUUGCUGAUCUGCAGGAGACUUUCGCUAAUUUUAGACAGGCCGGUCUAAAGCUGAAUCCAGAAAAGUGUGUUUUCGGAGUAAAGAAGGGGAAAUUCCUUGGUUGCCUAGUUUCAACAAAAGGGAUUGAGGCUAAUCCAAAUAAAAUCGAAGCUAUUCUUCGAAUGGAACCACCAAGCACAAAGAAGGGGGCUCAGCGACUGACGGGAAGACUUGCAUCUCUGAACCGAUUCAUAUCUAGAUCAGCAGAGAGAAAUCUACCAUUUUUUGAAAUACUGAAGUCAGCCGAAGUUUUUCAAUGGGGACCAGUUCAACAGAAAGCCUUCGACGAGCUGAAGCAGUAUUUGAUAGACCUAACGACAUUAACUCCACCAACACCAGGGGCUCCUCUGUUGUUAUAUGUGGCAGCUUCGCACUCAGCGGUAAGUGCGGCACUUGUCCAAGAGAAGCUUGAAGGGCAAGUCAAAAAGCAAGCCCCAAUAUACUUCGUCUCCGAAGUCCUUAGUUUAUCAAAGAAAAAUUAUACAGAAUUGGAGAAGGUGUUGUAUGCUGUUUUGAUGGCUUCCAGGAAGCUUUGGCACUAUUUUCAAGCAUACAAUAUAAUUGUCCCUUCUUCACAACCAUUGAAGGAUAUUAUGAGAAAUAGAGAAGCUACUGGAAGGGUUGGAAAAUGGGCUGCGGAACUUAAUGAGUUUUGCAUUGAUUAUGUGCAUAGAUCUUCGAUUCAGUCCCAGGCGUUAGCAGACUUCAUUGCUGACUGGACGCCAGGGGCUCAGGAAGAAGAAGCGAGUAAAGAUGCCGAAGCUUGGACAGUAUUCUGCGAUGGUUCUUGGGGAACCUUCGGGGCAGGAGCAGCUGCUGUGUUAGUUGCACCCUCCAAAGUUAAAACUUGCUACGCAGCAAGACUUGAUUUUAGCUGCACAAAUAACAUUGCUGAAUACGAAGCUUUGCUUUUGGGUAUUCGGAAGUUAAAGGCAAUGGGAAUUAGAAGGGCAGUUCUUAAAACUGAUUCCCAGGUUAUUUCUGGUCAUAUUGACAAGAGUUGUAAAGCAAGAGACCCGAAGCUUGAGAAAUAUUUAGACACGGUCCGAAGGAUUGAAGCUUCCUUUGAAGGAUUUUCUGUCAAAAAUAUUCCUCGAGGAGAAAAUGAACGUGCUGAUUUGCUAGCCAAGUCAGCAGCACAGGGGCUGCCCUUACCUUCGGAAGUAUUUUUCGAAACAAUAAAAGCACCUUCGGUUGAACUUCUUGAGAGAGCAGUCCUCAAUAUAUCUCCUGUUUAUAGUGAAGACUGGAGAACUGAAAUCAUCUCUUUCCUUCAGGGUAAUUUUCUUUCAGAUGACGAAGCUUAUAACAAGAGAAUAGAGGCAAGAGCUCGACCAUAUGUUAUAAUAGAGGGGGGCUGUACAAGCAUGGAGUCUGUUCUCCACUACUCAAAUGUUUAUCCAGAGCCGAAGGUAUAGAAUUAAUGAAGGAAAUACACGCAGACCUGUGUGGAUCUCACAUUGGAUCUAGGCCUUUGCUGGGAAAAGUUGUUCGCCAAGGAUUUUAUUGGCCAAAGGCAGCUUCAGAUGCAGCGGAAUUAGUCCAAAAGUGCGAAGGCUGUUAGAAAUGUGCAAGAGAUCAAAAACAACCUUUGUCUUUAACCCAGUUAAUACAUCCCACUUGGCCAUUGCAAAGGUGGGGCCUUGAUUUGUUAGGUCCGCUACCAUCAGCACAAGGAAACUUAAGAUAUGUUGUGGUGGCAGUGGAAUAUUUUUCUAAAUGGAUCGAGGCAAAGCCUUUAGCCACAAUAACUUCGGUUACUAUUCAAAAGUUUUUCUGGCAAAAUAUUGUCUGUCGCUUCGGAGUGCCGAAGGCCAUCACUGUGGACAAUGGAACACAAUUUGAUUCUGAAGCUUUCAGAGAAUUUUGUGAACAAAUUGGCACAAAGAUCCAUUUUGCAUCAGUUCGACAUCCGGAGUCAAAUGGACUUGUUAAAAGGGCUAAUGGCAUCAUAAUGACAGAAAUAAUGAAGUUAAUCUUCAAUCAGCCCAGGGGAAAGUGGCCAGAUGAAUUAAUCAAAGUGGUGUGGAGCCACAACACAACAAUAUCAAGAUCAACAAGUUUUACACCAUUCAAAUUGCUAUUUGGUGAUGAAGCAAUAACCCCAGAAGAAGCUAAAGCGGGAUCAAUAAGAACAAUGGCUUCGGCAGAAGACGAAGCUGAUUAUUCUGUGGCAAAAGAUGCUAUAGAAGGAAUCAGGCUUCAAGCUGUAGAGAAUAUCAACAAAUAUCAAGCCGAAAAAAUAAAAUGGCGUGAUAGAAAGGUUCGGCUAAAAAAUAUUAAGCCAGAACACUUGGUACUUCGGAGAGUCGCCAACCCAGACACAGUAGGCAAGCUACAGCUGAAGUGGGAAGGACCUUUUCUGGUAGUAUCUUCGUCAAGACCCGGUUCUUACAGAUUGAAGGAUAUGGACGGCAACGACAUUCCUAGAUCAUGGAACGCGGAUGAGCUUCGGCGAUAUUAUGUCUAGUUUGAUGUAAUUUUUUAUAUUCUUUUUUAUGGCACCCUUUUCCUUUCCAAAGGGGGAGAAAGGUUUUUAAUGGGGCCAUAGCAUGUAAUUUUUCUUUUUAUUUCAGCUCUUGUCGGCGUUUCGAGACCGGGGGGUCCCUAGGCCGACGAGUGAAAUGUCGCCGCGUGCCCCAGCCCAGAUGGGUCGGCGCGAGGCCGAGCGCGAAGGGGGGAAAAGGCGGCCGGAGGCGGGCGUGAGAGAUGUGGAAAUCCCGCGGCCUUCGUGUUCGUCCCGCGCCCAGGUCGGGUGCGCUUGAAGUAGGGGGUUAUAAGCGUCCACGCGGGAGAGGGAGCGAGCGGCCUCACGCGAGCGCCUGCCUCGUCCUUGUCCCCGCGCGGCCAACCCUCUGUAAGAGGGCCCUGGUCCUUCCUUUUAUAGGCGUAAGGAGAGGAUCCAGGUGUGCAAUGGGGGUGUAGCAAAGUGCUAUCGUGUCUAGAGGAGGAGAGCUAGCGCCCUAAGUACAUGCCAUCGUGGCAGCCGAAGAGGUUUUGGCACCCGGUUCGUGUGGUGUCGUGGCCGUCGGAGGAGCGCUGGAGCCUGGCGGAAGGACAACUGUUGGGGCUGUCGAGUCCUUGCUGACGUCCUCUUGCUUCCGUAAGGGGGCUGAGUCCCGCCAUCGUUAUAGAGCGUGCGGGGCGCCAUCAUUACUUUGUCUGGCGGAGUGAGCCAGAUGGGACGCUGGUCUUGUUUCCCGUAGCCUGAGUCAGCUCGGGGUAAGGUAAUGAUGGCGCCUCCUGUUGACGUGGCCGGUCCACGCCCUAGGUUGGGCGAUGUGGAGGCUCCUCCGAGGUCGAGGUUGAGUCUGUCUUCCGUGGCCGAGGUCGAGUCCGAGCCCCUGGGUCGGGCGAGGCGGAGACCGUCGGCUGAGGCCAGGGCGGAGUCCAAGCCCUGGGGUCGGGCGAAGUGGAGUUCGUCGUCUUCAGGGGCUGAGCCCGAGUCCGAGCCCUGGGUUGAGCGGAGCGGAGUUCGCCGCCUUCAGGGGCUGAGCCCGAGUCCGAGCCCUGGGUCGGGCGGAGUGGAGUUCGCCGUCUUCAGGGGCUGAGCCCGAGUCCGAGCCCUGGGUCGGGCGGAGCGGAGUUCGCCGUCUUCCGGGGCUUAGCCCGAGUCCGAGCCCUGGGUCGAGCGAAGUGGAGUUUCCUAUGGUGCCUGAGGCCGGGCCUGGCUGCCUGUCAGCCUCGCUCUGUCGAGUGGCACAGCAGUCGGAGCGGCGCAGGCGGCGCUGUCCUUCUGUCAGGCCGGUCAGUGGAGCGGCGAAGUGACUGUGGUCACUUUGGCUCUGCUGACUGAAGGGCGCGCGUUAGGAUAAAGGUGUUAGGCCACCUUCGCAUUAAAUGCUCCGGCGAUUUGGUUGGUUGGCGCGGCGAUUUGGUCAGGGUUGCUUCUUGGCGAAGACAGGGCCUCGGGCGAGCCGGAAGUAUGUUCGUCGCUGGAGGGGGGCCUCGGGCGAGACGGAGAUCCUCCGGGGUCGGCUGCCCUUGCCUGAGGCUAGGCUCGGGCGAGGCGUGAUCGAGUCCCUCGAAUGGACCGAUCCCUGACUUAAUCGCACCCAUCAGGCCUUUGCAGCUUUGUGCUGAUGGGGGUUACCAGCUGAGAAUUAGGAGUCUUGAGGGUACCCCUAAUUAUGGUCCCCAACAGUAGCCCCCGAGCCUCGAAGGGAGUGUUAACACUCGCUUGGAGGCUUGUGUCGCAUUUUUUUGCAAGGGGACCAGCCUUUCUCGGUUGCGUUUUGUUCUGGUGGGUGCGCGCGACCGCACCUGCCGGGUGUAGCCCCCGAGGCCUCGGAGGAGUGGAUUUACUCCUCCGAGGUCUUAAUGCCUCGCGCAAUGCUUCGGCUGGUCUGGUCGUUCCCUCAUGCGAGCUGGCCGUAGCCCGGGUGCACGGUCGGGUCCCAAGUUCUCGGGCUGGUAUGUUGACGCUGUCAAUGGUUUGGCCAGAGCCGGGUUUGCGAGAGCAGCCCCCGAGCCUCCGCACAGGGCAAGAGGACGGUCAGGGACAGACUCGACUUUUUUACAUACGCCCCUGCGUCGCCUUUUCGCAAGGAGUAGGGGGGAAAGCGCCAUGUUGCCCUCGGAGGGCGCCGAACAUGGUGUCUCCGGUGAGCUGCUGGCGGGUAAUCCGAGCGGACGUCCGUGCCCCAUUUGUUAGGGGUCGGCUAGAGGCCCAGAGGCGCGCCCAAAAGUACCUGCGGGUGAUCUGCCGGACCCGGUCCCCUGUCGACGGGGUCCGAGGGCUCGAUGCCUCCCUCUGAUGGGAUUCCGUUACAAGAUCGUUCCCGCUGGUCUCGGAAAUGUCCUAGGGUACCUUGGGAGCGCAACCCGAGCCUUGGUUGUGUAUCGAACGUACCCAUGGUCAUCCCUCGCUCUGUGUCUGAGGCGGCUGUGAACCCUUCGAGGGCCAGCCUUCGAACCCCUGAUCAGUAGUGGGCGCGGAGCCCGAGUGGCCUGAGGCGGCUGUCGAACCCUUCCGAGGGGCCGGCCUUCGAACCUCUGACCAGUAGUGGGUGUGGAGCCCACGCGCUCUGAGGCGGCUGUUGAACCCCUCCGAGGGGCCAGCCUUCGAACAUCUGAUCAGUAGGGAGGCUCGGAGCCUGGUUCCUUCACGGAGAAGGAUCCUUUUCGGGGUAUCCCCCUUUCCCGGUCCCUGUUGCAAGAGAGAGAAAGAGGUAAAGGAUACAAAAUCAAACGACACAGCGUACCUUUUUUGACGCGGUCAUUAUGGCGAAGGCGAAGCGUCGCUUGCUUCUCCUGCCAGAGGCGCCGCCUGUCCCGCCGCGGGGUUAAUGCGACAGGGCGUGCGGUUUGCGGGGCGGCCGUUGCGCGUGCGCGAGCCGUUCGAGGAACGGAACACGGGCGCGUCGUCUUCACGCCGUGAGAGAGGGUUCUCUCGCUGCCCCCGGAUGGGACGUAAGCUUGGCUGACGACGUGACCGCUGCUCCUGCCCGCCUGCCACCGCCAUUACUGCCGGCCCAUUUUUGGCCGUAUUGACCGUCGCGCCAGGCUGGCGCUGCUGGGUCGUGCGCUGGGUCGCCUCGAGUCGCGGUACUGGUUCCGCAGUCGAGGAGGCGCGGUAGUGGUGCGAGUGGCGGUGCAGUUGCUUGCACGUAGCGACCGGCGCGCUGGUUGCAUGACGCAUGGGCCUGGGCCUCCAUGCUGGGCGUGUUGGAAGUCGGAGAAGUGCGCCCACUUGGCGCGGUUGCAUGCCGCCUCCAUGGCUGCCCGCCCUUUCACCCGCUGGUCUGGGCGAAAGUGGAGGGACGCUUGUAACCGCUGGACGGUUGCAUGCACCGCUGAUAGUCGUCUAGAGGGGGGUGAAUAGGGCGAAACUGAAAUUUACAAAUAUAAACACAACUACAAGCCGGGUUAGCGUUAGAAAUAUAAAUGAGUCCGAGAGAGAGGGCGCAAAACAAAUCCCAAGCGAAUAAGUAAGUGAGACACGGAGAUUUGUUUUACCGAGGUUCGGUUCUUGCAAACCUACUCCCCGUUGAGGAGGCCACAAAGGCCGGGUCUCUUUCAACCCUUCCCUCUCUCAAACGGUCCCACGGACCGAGUGAGCUUCUCUUCUCAAAUCAAAGCCGGGAACAAAACUUCCCCGCAAGGGCCACCACACAAUUGGUGCCUCUUGCCUUGAUUACAAUGGAGUUGUGAUCUCAAGAACAAGUGAGAAAGAAAAGAAGCAAUCCAAGCGCAAGAGCUCAAAUGAACACGGCAAAUCACUCUCACUAGUCACUAGGGCUUAGUGUGGAAUUGGAGAGGAUUUGAUCUCUUUAGUGUGUCUAGAAUUGAAUGCUAGAGCUCUUGUAAGUGGUUGAGAAGUAGAAAACUUGGAUGCCAUGAAUGGUGGGGUGGUUGGGGUAUUUAUAGCCCCAACAACCAAAUGUGGCCGUUGGGAGGCUGUCUGUUCGAUGGCGCACUGGACAGUCCGGUGCCCCCUGCCACGUCAUCACUGCCGUUGGAUUCUGACCGUUGGAGCUUCUGACUUGUGGGCCCGCCUGGGUGUCCGGUGCACACCGGACAGGUACUGUUUGCUGUCCGGUGUGCCAGCAUGGGCGAUUCUGACUUCUGCGCGCGCAGAGGGCGCAUUAAAUGCGCGGCAGAGAGCCGUUGGCGCGGAGAUGACCGUUGCUCCGGAGGCGCACCGGACAGUCCGGUGCACACCGGACAGUCCGGUGAAUUAUAGUGGACUAGCCGUUGGCGUUUCCCGAAGCUGGCGAGUUCCUGAGGCCGACCUCCCUUGGCGCACCGGACACUGUCCGGUGUACACCGGACAGUCCGGUGAAUUAUAGCCGAGUCGCCCUGGAAAUUCCCGAAGGUGGCGAGUUUGAGUCUGAGUCCCCUGGUGCACCGGACAGGUACUGUUCACUGUCCGGUGGCACACCGGACAGUCCGGUGCGCCAGACCAGGGGUGCCUUCGGUUGCCCCUUUGCUCCUUUAUUGAAUCCAAAACUUGGUCUUUUUAUUGGCUGAGGGUGAACCUUUUACACCUGUAUAAUCUACAUACUUGGGCAAACUAGUUAGUCCAAUUAUUUGUGUUGGGCAAUUCAACCACCAAAAUUAUUUAGGAACUAGGUGUAAGCCUAAUUCCCUUUCAAUCUCCCCUUUUUGGUGAUUGAUGCCAACACAAACCAAAGCAAACAGAGAUGUGCAUAAUUGAACUAGUUUGCAUAAUGUAAGUGUAAAGGUUGCUUGGAAUUGAGCCAAUAUAACUACUUACAAGAUAUGCAUGGAAUGUUUCUUUCUUAUGUAACAUUUUGGACCACGUUUGCACCACAAGUUUUGUUUUUGCAAAUUCUUUUUGUAAAUCCAUUUCAAAGAUCUUUUGCAAAUAGUUAAAGGUAAAUGAAUAAGAGUUUGUAAAGCAUUUUCAAGAUUUGAAAUUUUCUCCCCCUGUUUCAAAUGCUUUUCUUUUGACUUAACAAAACUCCCCCUAAAAGAGAUCCACCUCUUAGUGUUCAAGAGGGUUUUGAUAUACCAUUUCUGAAAUACUACUUUCUCCCCCUUUUGAACACAAUAGGAUACCAAAUGAUAAAUACUUUUGGAAAGCACUAAGUUUUUGAAUUUUGGUGAUGGUGGUGCGGUCCUUUUGCUUUGGGCUCAUUUCUCCCCCUUUUUGGCAUGAAUCGCCAAAAACGGAAUCAUUAGAGCCCUCGAAGUAAUUUCUUCCCCUUUGGUCAUAAGUAAAUGAGUUACGAUUAUACCAAAGACGAAAUCCGGUCCUUUUGCUUUGGGCUUUUGCUUUCUCCCCCAAAGACAAGGUCCGUUUAGUGGAGCGAUGGCGAAGGAUGAGUUACGGAGUGGAAGCCUUUGUCUUUUGCCGAAGACUCCAAAUCCCUUUCAAUAUACCUAUGACUUGGUUUGAAAUAGACUUGAAAACACAUUAGUCAUAGCAUAUAUGAUCAAAAGUGUAAAUGAGCUAUGUGUGCAAUCUAGCAAAAGAAGUUGCGAGAAUCAAGAAUAUUGAGCUCAUGCCUAAGUUUGGUAAAGGUUUGUUCAUCAAGAGGCUUGGUAAAGAUAUCGGCUAAUUGAUCUUUAGUGUUAAUGUAAGAAAUCUCGAUAUCCCCCUUUUGUUGGUGAUCCCUAAGAAAAUGAUACCGAAUGGCUAUGUGCUUAGUGCGGCUAUGCUCGACGGGAUUGUCGGCCAUUUUGAUUGCACUCUCAUUAUCACAUAGCAAAGGGACUUUGGUUAAUUUGUAACCGUAGUCCCGCAGGGUUUGCCUCAUCCAAAGCAAUUGCGCGCAACAAUGAUCUGCGGCAAUGUACUCGGCUUCGGCGGUGGAAAGAGCGACCGAAUUUUGCUUCUUUGAAGCCCAAGACACCAAGGAUCUUCCCAAGAACUGACAAGUCCCCGAUGUGCUCUUCCUAUUAAUUUUGCACCCCGCCCAAUCGGCAUCCGAAUAACCAAUCAAAUCAAACGUGGAUCCCCGAGGGUACCAAAGCCCAAACUUAGGUGUGUAAGCCAAAUAUCUCAAGAUUCGUUUUACGGCCGUAAGGUGGGAUUCCUUAGGGUCGGAUUGGAAUCUUGCACACAUGCAAACGGAAAGCAUAAUGUCCGGUCGAGAUGCACAUAAAUAAAGCAAUGAACCAAUCAUCGACCGGUAUACCUUUUGAUCCACGGACUUACCUCCCGUGUCGAGGUCGAGAUGCCCAUUAGUUCCCAUGGGUGUCUUGAUGGGUUUGGCAUCCUUCAUCCCAAACUUGGUUAGAAUGUCUUGAGUGUACUUCGUUUGGCUAAUGAAGGUGCCCUCUUGGAGUUGCUUGACUUGGAAUCCUAGAAAAUACUUCAACUCCCCCAUCAUCGACAUCUCGAAUUUCUGUGUCAUGAUCCUACUAAACUCUUCACAUGUAGACUCGUUAGUAGACCCAAAUAUAAUAUCAUCAACAUAAAUUUGGCAUACAAACAAGUCAUUUUCAAGAGUUUUAGUAAAGAGUGUAGGAUCGGCUUUGCCGACUUUGAAGUCAUUAGCAAUAAGGAAAUCUCUUAGGCAUUCAUACCAUGCUCUUGGGGCUUGCUUGAGCCCAUAAAGCGCCUUAGAGAGCCUAUAAACAUAGUUAGGAUACUCACUGUCUUCAAAGCCGGGAGGUUGCUCAACAUAGACCUCUUCCUUGAUCGGUCCAUUGAGGAAGGCACUUUUCACGUCCAUUUGAUAAAGCUUAAAGCCAUGGUAAGUAGCAUAGGCUAAUAAUAUGCGAAUUGACUCAAGCCUAGCUACGGGUGCAUAGGUUUCACCGAAAUCCAAACCUUCGACUUGUGAAUAUCCUUUGGCCACGAGUCGAGCUUUGUUUCUUGUCACCACACCAUGCUCAUCUUGCUUGUUGCGGAAGACCCAUUUGGUUCCUACAACAUUUUGGUUAGGACGUGGAACUAAAUGCCAUACCUCGUUCCUUGUGAAAUUGUUGAGCUCCUCUUGCAUUGCCAUCACCCAAUCCGAAUCUUGAAGUGCUUCCUCUACCCUGUGUGGCUCAAUAGAGGAAACAAAAGAGUAAUGUUCACAAAAAUGUGCAACACGAGAUCGAGUGGUUACCCCCUUAUGAAUGUCGCCGAGGAUGGUGUCGACGGGGUGAUCUCGUUGUAUUGCUUGGUGGACUCUUGGGUGUGGCGGCCUUGGUUCUUCCUCAUCCUCCUUUUCUUGAUCAUUUGCAUCUCCCCCUUGAUCAUUGCCAUCAUCUUGAGGUGGCUCAUCUUCUUGAUUUUGCCCUUCAUCAUCUUGAGCCUCAUCCUCAUUUUGAGUUGGUGGAGAUGCUUGCAUGGAGGAGGAUGGUUGAUCUUGUGCAUUUGGAGGCUCUUCGGAUUCCUUAGGACACACAUCCCCAAUGGACAUGUUCCUUAGCGCGAUGCAUGGAGCCUCUUCAUUACCUAUCUCAUCAAGAUCAACUUGCUCUACUUGAGAGCCGUUAGUUUCAUCAAACACAACGUCACAUGAGACUUCAACUAGUCCAGUGGACUUGUUAAAGACCCUAUAUGCCCUUGUGUUUGAGUUAUAACCAAGUAAAAAGCCUUCUACAGUUUUAGGAGCAAAUUUAGAUUUUCUACCUCUUUUAACAAGAAUAAAGCAUUUGCUACCAAAAACUCUAAAAUAUGAAAUGUUGGGCUUUUUACCGGUUAGGAGUUCAUAUGAUGUCUUCUUGAGGAUUCGGUGAAGAUAUAACCGGUUGAUGGCGUAGCAGGCGGUGUUGACCGCUUCGGCCCAAAACCGGUCCGAUGUCUUGUACUCAUCAAGCAUGGUUCUUGCCAUGUCCAAUAGAGUUCGAUUCUUCCUCUCCACUACACCAUUUUGUUGUGGCGUGUAGGGAGAGGAGAACUCAUGCUUGAUGCCCUCCUCCUCAAGGAAGCCUUCAAUUUGAGAGUUCUUGAACUCCGUCCCGUUGUCGCUUCUUAUUUUCUUGAUCCUUAAGCCGAACUCAUUUUGAGCUCGUCUCAAGAAUCCCUUUAAGGUCUCUUGGGUUUGAGAUUUUUCCUGUAAAAAGAAUACCCAAGUGAAGCGAGAAUAAUCAUCCACUAUUACAAGACAAUACUUACUCCCGCCGAUGCUUAUGUAAGCAAUCGGGCCGAAUAGAUCCAUGUGGAGUAGCUCAAGCGGCCUGUCGGUCGUCAUGAUGUUCUUGUGCGGAUGAUGGACUCCAACUUGCUUCCCUGCCUGACAUGCGCUACAAAUCCUGUCUUUCUCAAAAUGAACAUUCGUUAAUCCUAAAAUGUGUUCUCCCUUUAGAAGCUUGUGAAGAUUCUUCAUCCCAACAUGGGCUAGUCGGCGGUGCCAGAGCCAACCCAUGUUAGUCUUAGCAAUUAAGCAUGUGUCGAGUUCAGCUCUAUCAAAGUCUACUAAGUAUAGCUGACCCUCUAACACACCCUUAAAUGCUAUUGAGUCAUCACUUCUUCUAAAGACAGUGACACCUACAUCAGUAAAAAGACAGUUGUAGCCCAUUUGACAUAAUUGGGAAACAGAAAGCAAGUUGUAAUCUAAGGAAUCAACAAGAAAAACAUUGGAAAUAGAAUGGUCAGGAGAUAUAGCAAUUUUACCAAGUCCUUUGACCAAACCUUGAUUUCCAUCCCCGAAUGUGAUAGCUCGUUGGGGAUCUUGGUUUUUCUCAUAUGAGGAGAACAUCCUUUUCUCCCCUGUCAUGUGGUUUGUGCACCCGCUGUCGAGUAUCCAACUUGAGCCCCCGGAUGCAUAAACCUACAAAACAAAUUUAGUUCUUGACUUUAGGUACCCAAACUGUUUUGGGUCCUUUGGCAUUAGAAACAAGAACUUUGGGUACCCAAACACAAGUCUUGGAGCCCUUGUGUUUGCCCCCAACAAACUUGGCAACGACCUUGCCGGAUUUGUUAGUCAAAACAUAUGAUGCAUCAAAAGUCUUAAAUGAAAUGCUAUGUUCAUUUGAUGCAUUAGGAAUUUUCUUCUUAGGCAACUUGGCACGGGUUGGUUGCCUAGAACUAGAUGUCUCACCCUUAUACAUAAAAGCAUGAUUAGGGCCAGAGUGAGACUUCCUAGAAUGAAUUUUCCUAAUUUUGUCCUCGGGAUAACCGGCAGGGUAUAAAAUGUAACCCUCGUUAUCCUGAGGCAUGGGAGCCUUGCCCUUAACAAAGUUAGACAAAUUUUUAGGAGGGGCAUUAAGUUUGACAUUGUCUCCCCUUUGGAAGCCAAUGCCAUCCUUAAUGCCAGGGCGUCUCCCAUUAUAAAGCAUGCUACGAGCAAAUUUAAAUUUCUCAUUCUCUAGGUUGUGCUCGGCAAUUUUAGCAUCUAGUUUUGCUAUAUGAUCAUUUUGUUGUUUAAUUAAAGCCAUAUGAUCAUGAAUAGCAUCAAUAUCAACAUUUCUACAUCUAGUACAAAUAGAUACAUGCUCAACAAUAGAUGUAGAGGGUUUGCAAGAUUUUAAUUCUACGACCUUAGCUUGUAAUAUGUCAUUUUUAAUUCUAAGGUCGGAAAUAGUAGCAUUGCAAACAUCAAGAUCUUUAGCCUUAACAAGCAAUUUCUCAUUUUCAAUUUUAAGGCUAGCUAGGGAAGCAUUCAACUCAUCAAUCCUAGCAAGUAAAUCAACAUUAUCAUCUCUAGGAUUUGAAGUUGAAACAUUGCAAACAUGUGAAUCAACCUUAGCAUUUAAACUAGCAUUUUCAUUCCUAAGGUUGUCAAUCAUCUCACGGCAAGUGCUUAGCUCACUAGAUAAUUUUUCACAUUUUUCAAUUUCUAGAGCAUAAGCAUUUUUAACCUUAACAUGUUUCUUGUUUUCCUUAAUAAGGAGGUCCUCUUGGGAAUCCAAAAGGUCAUCCUUUUCAUGAAUAGCACUAACCAAUUCAUUUAAUUUUUCCUUUUGAGCUAUGUUAAGGUUGGCAAAAAGGGUGCGCAAAUUAUCUUCCUCAUCACUAGCAUUGUCAUCACUAGAGGAUUCAUAUUUAGUGGAGGAUUUAGAUUUAACCUUCUUUUUGCCGUCCUUUGCCAUGAGGCACUUGUUGCCGACGUUGGGGAAGAGGAGUCCUUUGGUGAUGGCGAUGUUGGCGGCGUCCUCGUCGUCGGAGGAGUCGCUUGAGCUCUCGUCGGAGUCCCACUCGCGACAAACAUGGGCAUCGCCGCCCUUCUUCUUGUAAUACCUCUUCUUCUCCUUUCUUCUCCCCUUCUUGUCGUCGCCUCGGUCACUAUCACUAGAUAUAGGACAUUUAGCAAUAAAAUGACCGGGCUUACCACACUUGUAGCAAACCUUCUUGGAGCGGGACUUGUAAUCCUUCCCCCUCCUUUGCUUGAGGAUUUGGCGAAAGCUCUUGAUGACGAGCGCCAUUUCCUCAUUGUCGAGCUUGGAGGCGUCUAUGGGUUGUCGACUUGGUGUAGACUCCUCCUUCUUCUCCUCCGUCGCCUUGAAUGCAACGGGUUGAGCUUCGGAUGUGGUGGCAUCAUCAAGCUCGUUGAUCUUCCUCGAGCCUUCGAUCAUGCACUCAAAACUUACAAAAUUCCCGAUAACUUCCUCGGGGGUCAUUUUAGUAUAUCUAGGAUUACCACGAAUUAAUUGAACUUGAGUAGGGUUAAGGAAAAUAAGUGAUCUUAGAAUAACCUUAACCACCUCGUGGUCAUCCCACUUUACGCUCCCGAGGUUGCGUGCUUGGUUCACCAAGGUUUUGAGCCGAUUGUACAUGUGUUGUGGCUCCUCCCCUUUGCGAAGCCGGAACCGACCGAGCUCCCCCUCAAUCGUUUCCCGCUUGGUGAUCUUGGUGAGCUCAUCACCUUCAUGCGCGGUUUUGAGUAAAUCCCAAAUCUCCUUUGCGUUCUUCAACCCUUGAACUUUGUUAUACUCCUCUCUACUCAAAGAGGCUAGGAGUAUUGUUGUUGCUUGAGAGUUGAAGUGCUCGAUUUGGGCCACCUCAUCCUCAUCAUAGUUCUCAUCCCCUACGGAUGGUACCUGCGCACCAAACUCAACAACAUCCCAUAUGCUUUUGUGGAGCGAGGUUAGAUGAAAUCGCAUUAAAUCGCUCCACCUAGCGUAAUCUUCACCAUCAAAAGUUGGUGGUUUGCCUAAUGGGACGGAAAGUAAAGGUGUAUGUUUGGAAAUGCGAGGAUAGCGUAGGGGGAUCUUACUAUACUUCUUGCGCUCUUGGCGCUUAGAAGUGACGGAGGGCGCAUCGGAGUCGGAGGUAGAAGUUGAUGAAGUGUCGGUCUCGUAGUAGACCACCUUCCUCAUCCUCUUAUGCUUGUCGCCUUUCCGAUGCGGCUUGUGGGAAGAAGAUUUUUCCUUCUUCUCUUGGUGGUGAGAAGAGGAAGCCUUUUUCUCCUUCCGUUUGGAGGAGUCCUUCUUCUUCUCCUUCCUCUUGGUGCGGGACUCUUCCGAUGAAGUGCUCCCAUGGCUUGUAGUGGGCUUUUCGCCGGUCUCCAUCUCCUUCUUGGCGUGAUCUCCCGACAUCACUUCGAGCGGUUAGGCUCUAAUGAAGCACCGGCCUUUGAUACCAAUUGAUAGUCGUCUAGAGGGGGGGUGAAUAGGGCAAAACUGAAAUUUACAAAUAUAAACACAACUACAAGCCGGGUUAGCGUUAGAAAUAUAAAUGAGUCCGAGAGAGAGGGCGCAAAACAAAUCCCAAGCGAAUAAGUAAGUGAGACACGGAGAUUUGUUUUACCGAGGUUCGGUUCUUGCAAACCUACUCCCCGUUGAGGAGGCCACAAAGGCCGGGUCUCUUUCAACCCUUCCCUCUCUCAAACGGUCCCACGGACCGAGUGAGCUUCUCUUCUCAAAUCAAAGCCGGGAACAAAACUUCCCCGCAAGGGCCACCACACAAUUGGUGCCUCUUGCCUUGAUUACAAUGGAGUUGUGAUCUCAAGAACAAGUGAGAAAGAAAAGAAGCAAUCCAAGCGCAAGAGCUCAAAUGAACACGGCAAAUCACUCUCACUAGUCACUAGGGCUUAGUGUGGAAUUGGAGAGGAUUUGAUCUCUUUAGUGUGUCUAGAAUUGAAUGCUAGAGCUCUUGUAAGUGGUUGAGAAGUAGAAAACUUGGAUGCCAUGAAUGGUGGGGUGGUUGGGGUAUUUAUAGCCCCAACAACCAAAUGUGGCCGUUGGGAGGCUGUCUGUUCGAUGGCGCACCGGACAGUCCGGUGCACACCGGACAGUCCGGUGCCCCCUGCCACGUCAUCACUGCCGUUGGAUUCUGACCGUUGGAGCUUCUGACUUGUGGGCCCGCCUGGGUGUCCGGUGCACACCGGACAGGUACUGUUUGUUGUCCGGUGUGCCAGCAUGGGCGAUUCUGACUUCUGCGCGCGCAGAGGGCGCAUUAAAUGCACGGCAGAGAGCCGUUGGCGCGGAGAUGACCGUUGCUCCGGAGGCGCACCGGACAGUCCGGUGCACACCGGACAGUCCGGUGAAUUAUAGUGGACUAGCCGUUGGCGUUUCCCGAAGCUGGCGAGUUCCUGAGGCCGACCUCCCUUGGCGCACCGGACACUGUCCGGUGUACACCGGACAGUCCGGUGAAUUAUAGCCGAGUCGCCCUGGAAAUUCCCGAAGGUGGCGAGUUUGAGUCUGAGUCCCCUGGUGCACCGGACAGGUACUGUUCACUGUCCGGUGGCACACCGGACAGUCCGGUGCGCCAGACCAGGGGUGCCUUCGGUUGCCCCUUUGCUCCUUUAUUGAAUCCAAAACUUGGUCUUUUUAUUGGCUGAGGGUGAACCUUUUACACCUGUAUAAUCUACAUACUUGGGCAAACUAGUUAGUCCAAUUAUUUGUGUUGGGCAAUUCAACCACCAAAAUUAUUUAGGAACUAGGUGUAAGCCUAAUUCCCUUUCAACCGCGCGCGGUGGUUUGGCUUCUUCUGCCCUGGGCCAGCUUUCAUGACGCGUGGGACCCAGCCCCCGCGCCGUAGGGGGAGGACCUUGGAGCGUGUUGGAGAAGACUCAGCCCGUGACGGCUGGGGACGCAAGUAGGGAGAGUCGCCUUUAAAAGGAGGGUGACCCCCUUGAAAGGCGACCAUGUCUUCGCGCUCCCUUAUGCAUCGUAUCUUUCCACCUUCCGAGCCCCCGGAUGGGGGAUGCCCGAAGUCCUUCCGCCUUGUCGUUGGGGGAACGCAACUCCGUGGGAGUUGGUACCUUUUAGCCAUCGUUCGGCUUCAAGGAUUUUCAUCACGCAGCCCGGCUGCACCCCUCCGCCGGCGGUCACCCAAGACGGUGACCACCAGCCCCUGGAUGGGGAGAGGCAAGCCGGGCUAUGAUCUUGGUCCCGCCCUCAGCUUCAAGGAUGUUCAUCAUCCUUGCUGGGGCGGAGAGCGAGGCGAGCCGGGGCUCUACCUCCCGCGCGGGCCGGCUGGCCACCUCCUCUUCCAGCUUCUGGUGGUGGAAACCAUCCUCCAGCUCUGCGGAGGAGGCGUCCUCUAGCCAUGCCGGGGAAGGCGAACUGUUGCUGCCCAGCUAGGAUGCAACAUUUCGCCCUCUUCCUCGCUUUCGUGGCGAGGACGGGAGCGAGGACCUGCCGGUGCGCUUUGGAGCGGCCCGCUCUUUGCCUUUGAUGGCUGGUUCGCGUCCCUUGAGCGGGAACGCGAACGAGAGCCUUCCGGUGGCCGCGUCCGUCCUGGGACCAUGGCUGCUGCUGCAGAGGUCGCUGGCGAGUCGCCCGGAACUCGUCGCCCCGCAGGCUCCCCGGUGUGGAGGUUGUUCAUACCCGCGGGGACAGAACCGGAGUUCCGUUUGUAAUGGCACCUUGAAUGCCGGUCUUCUGUUCAUUGUGGCUGUCGGGGCCUGAACGUGUAUGUAUUUUUGGCGCGGAGCCGUGUUUUUUUUCAUUUUUGAGCACUAAGACUCGCCUGUUGGUUGUCUGAACCGCUUCACCAAGCGUGAGUCGCCCCGUGCAAAGGUGACGAGUGAGGUAUCCAUAUCCCGGAGGCGUAGGAGUCCCUCGGCUCGGUCGACCUUGCUGUCCAUGGUUUCUCUUGCUUAGUUAAAGGAACCCCUCGGCCGCUCUUCGGUGAGCCGAAGCCAGGGGUAGCGUUGUCAGCACAGACAGAGGCAGAGUUGGCUCGAAAAGAAGACUUGGUCGGCCAGAGCCUGGCCGGGUCGUCCGUUAGCGGGACCGACGCUGGAGUUGAUCUGCCGAGGCCUCGGGCCGGGCUGAUGCCUUCGGGGGACAUCUGGCCGAGGCCUCGGGGAGACCAGCUGAGCCGCCUGCCCGAGCCGAAUUCUUGGAGGAGACCUAGGCGGCGAUGGCCCGGGCGUGAUGUUGAAGUCGUCCUUCAGAGUGGAGAUCCUCGGACCACAUCACCGUCGGAGGCUAGGUCGGACCUCGUCGAAGGUGUAGUCGACGCCGAGGGUGCUACUGCUCCCUUCAGCCGUCAAGAUCCGAGCCUGCAGGAUCGGAUUAUCUUGUAGCGUGUGUUUUCUGCGGCCGCUGAGGCCCAAGCACACCCUCGCCGUGUUGUAAAGUUGCGCUUCUUUUCCUCUUGUUUCGAGUAUCUGGACUUUUUUGUCGGUAACAGAAUUGUCUGUGCGAGCGAGAGUUGCUUUUCACGGAAGGUGAUGAGUGAGGUAUCCGUAUCCCGGAGGCGUAGGAAUCCCUCGGCUCGGUCGGCCUUGCCGCUUAUGCAUGCUCUUGCCCGUCCAUGGGGUUCUGUCACCGACGCAGUCGAGAAGGCCCGAAGAAUCGCUUCGGCAGAGGAGCUUUCGAACGUGAAGGCUUGUUCGGUCCGCGGAAUCACUUAUCCGAACGUGAGUUACUUAUCGCAGAAGGUGAUGAGUGAGGUAUCCGUAUCCCGGAGGCGUAGGAGUCCCUCGGCUCGGUCAGCCUUGGCUGCUUACGUGUACUCCGUCGUUUUCAGGAUCCACUUUCGAAGUAGUCGAAAAGCACGAAAGACAUUCUGGCAGAAAGGAUCUUUUUUCAAGGAAAAAAUUCAACGCAGAGGGGGUUCCCCCCCUUUUAGCCCCCGAGGGAGGGUCGGGCUUUGCCGAGGCAAGGCUGACCCUUCCUUGAUGACUAAACUUUGCGUGGGAACGAGGUAUAUGAACAACUUGAAAACAUCUUAAGGGUAGAAGCGACGUAGCUGUUGGAUGUUCCAGGCGUUGCUGUAGACCUCGCCUUGGCUGUUGGCCAGCUUGUAUGUUCCGGGCUUCAGAACUUUGGCGAUGACGAACGGCCCUUCCCAGGGAGGCGUGAGCUUGUGCCGCCCUCGGGCGUCUUGUCGCAGCCGAAGCACCAGGUCGCCCACCUGGAGGUCUCGGGACCGGACCCCUCGGGCGUGGUAGCGUCGCAGGGACUGCUGGUACCGCGCCGAGUGUAGUAAGGCCUUGUCCCGAGCCUCUUCCAGCUGGUCCAGCGAGUCUUCUCGACUAGCUUGGUUGCUUUGGUCAGCAUAGGCCCUCGUCCUCGGGGAACAGUAUUCUAAGUCUGUGGGCAAGAUGGCCUCGGCCCCAUAGACUAGAAAGAACGGCGUGAAGCCCGUGGCUCGGCUCGGUGUUGUCCUCAGACUCCAGACCACCGAGGGGAGUUCCUUCAUCCAUCGCUUGCCGAACUUAUUGAGGUCAUUGUAGAUCCGAGGCUUGAGUCCUUGUAGAAUCAUGCUGUUGGCACGCUCUACUUGCCCAUUCGUCAUGGGGUGAGCCACGGCGGCCCAGUCCACCCGGAUGUGGUGAUCCUCGCAGAAGUCCAGGAACUUUCUGCCGGUGAACUGGGUGCCGUUGUCGGUGAUGAUGGAGUUCGGGACCCCGAAACGAUGGAUGAUGUUGGUGAAGAACGCCACCGCCUGCUCGGACCUGAUGCUGUUUAGGGGUCGGACCUCGAUCCACUUGGAGAAUUUGUCGAUGGCGACCAACAGGUGCGUGUAGCCCCCAGGUGCCUUCUGCAAGGGGCCGACGAGGUCCAGACCCCACACAGCAAAAGGCCAGGUGAUUGGUAUCGUCUGCAGAGCCUGAGCAGACAGGUGGGUCUGCCUUGCGUAGAACUGACACCCUUCGCAGGUGCGAACAAUUCUAGUGACGUCGGCCACCGCCGUCGGCCAGUAGAAACCUUGUCGAAAGGCGUUUCCAACAAGGGCUCGAGGUGCUGCGUGAUGGCCGCAAGCCCUCGAGUGUAUCUCUUGUAGGAGCUUCUGACCUUCGGUGAUGGGGAUGCAUCGCUGGAGGAUGCCUAAGGGGCUGCGGUGGUAGAGCUCCUUCCCGUCUCCCAGCAAGACGAACGACUUGGCGCGCCGCGCCAACCGCCGAGCUUCGGCUCGGUCGAGGGGUAGCUCUCCUCGGUGGAGAUAUUGCAGGUACGGGGUCUGCCAGUUUUGAUUAGGCGUGACCCCGCUUCGCUCCUCCUCGACACGCAGUGCCUCACCCUCGGGGGCCGAGGGUGCCUCGGGCUGAACCGAGAGUGCCUCAGGCCGAGCUGAGGGUGGCUCGGGCCGAGCCGAGGGUGCCUCGGACUGAGCCGAGGGUUCCUCGGGCUGGGCCGAGGGUGCCUCGGGCUCGGGCGUGUCGUCGAUCUUGAUGGAGGGUUGAUGCAGGUCUCGGGAGAAGACGUCCGGGGGAACCGUUGUUCGGCCCGAGGCUAUCUUAGCCAGCUCGUCCGCAGUCUCGUUGUAGCGUCGGGCGAUGUGGUUGAGCUCGAGCCCGUAGAACUUGUCUUCCAGGCGCCGAACCUCAUCGCAGUAGGCCUCCAUCUUCGGGUCACGGCAAUGGGAGUUCUUCAUGACUUGGUCGAUGACGAGCUACGAGUCACCGCGAGCGUCGAGGCGUCGGACCCCUAGCUCGAUGGCGAUCCGCAACCCGCUGACCAGAGCCUCGUACUCAGCCACAUUGUUGGACGCCGGGAAAUGGAGGCGCAGCACGUAGCGUAGGUGCUUCCCGAGGGGCGAGAUGAAGAGUAGGCCUGCGUCGGCUCCUGUCUUCAUCAGUGACCCGUCGAAGAACAUGGUCCAGAGCUCCGGUUGGAUCGGAGCUGUUGGGAGCUAGGUGUCGACCCAUUCAGCCACGAAGUCCGCCAAGACCUGGGACUUGAUGGCCUUCCGAGGGGCAAACGCGAUUGUUUCGCCCAUGAUUUCCACCGCCCACUUUGCGAUUCUACCCGAGGCCUCUCGGCACUGGAUGAUCUCCCCCAGUGGGAAGGAUGACACCACAGUUACCGGAUGAGACUCGAAGUAGUGUCGCAGCUUCCGCCGCGCCAGGAUCACCGCGUACAGCAGCUUCUGAACUUGUGGGUAGCGGAUCUUGGUUUCGGACAGUACCUCGCUGAUGAAGUAGACUGGCCUCUGGACGGGCAAUGUAUGCCCCUCUUCUCAUCUCUCAACCACAAUCGCGGCGCUAACCACCCGGGUGGUCGCGGCGACGUAGAUCAAGAGGGCUUCGCCGGCAGCGGGGGGCACCAAGAUGGGCGCGUUCGUGAGGAGCGCCUUCAGGUUUCCAAGGGCUUCCUCGGCCUCAGGGGUCCAAGUGAAGCACCCGGCCUUCCUUAAGAGGCGGUACAGAGGCAGGCCUCUUUCGCCGAGGCGUGAGAUGAAGCGGCUCAGAGCCGCAAGACAUCCCAUGACUCUCUGUAUGCCCUUUAAGUCCUUGAUGGGCCCCAUGCUGGUGAUGGCUGCGAUCUUCUCCGGGUUGGCUUCGAUGCCCCGCUCGGAGACGAUGAACCCCAAGAGCAUGCCUCGGGGCACCCCGAAGACACACUUUUCGGGAUUGAGCUUCACGCCUUUCGCCUUGAGACAUCGGAAUGUCACUUCAAGGUCGGAAAGGAGGUCGGAGGCUUUCCUCGUCUUGACUACGAUGUCAUCGACGUAGGCCUCGACCGUCCGGCCGAUGUGUUGGCCGAACACAUGGUUCGUGCACCGCUGGUACGUCGCGCCCGCAUUCCUCAAGUCAAACGGCAUGGUGACAUAGCAGUACAUGCUGAAGGGCGUGAUGAAAGAAGUCGCGAGCUGGUCGGACUCCUUCAUCCUGAUUUGGUGAUACCCUGAGUAGGCAUCGAGGAAAGACAGGGUUUCGCACCCAGCAGUGGAAUCCACGAUUUGAUCGAUGCGAGGCAGAGGGUAGGGAACCUUCGGACAUGCUUUGUUUAGACCAGUGUAGUCUACACACAUCCGCCAUUUCCCUCCUUUCUUUCUCACAAGCACAGGGUUGGCAAGCCAUUCGGGAUGGAAUACCUCUUUGAUGAACCCUACCGCCAUUAGCUUGUGGAUCUCCUCGCCUAUGGCUCUGCGCUUUUCUUCAUCAAAUCGGCGCAGAGGUUGCUUGACGGGUCGGGCUCUGGCUCGGAUGUCCAGCGAGUGCUCGGCGACAUCCCUCGGUAUGUCGGGCAUGUCCGAGGGACUCCACGCGAAGAUGUCGGCAUUCACGCGGAGAAAGUCGACGAGCACUGCUUCCUAUUUGAGAUCGAGCUCGGAGCCGAUCCGGAUCUGCUUGGAGGCGUCGCUGCUGGGGUCGAGGGGGACGGACUUAACCGUCUCCGCUGGCUCGAAGUUGUCGGUGUGACGCUUCAUGUCUGGCACCUCCUUAGAGAGGCUCUCCAGGUCGGCGAUGAGGGCCUCGGAUUUGGCGAGGGCCUCGGCGUACUCCACGCACUCCACGUCACAUUCGAACGCGUGUUUGUACGUGGGGCCGACGGUGAUGACCCCGUUGGGGCCCGACAUCUUGAGCUUGAGGUAGGUGUAGUUGGGGACGGCCAUGAACUUCGCGUAGCAUGGCCUCCCCAGUACCGCGUGGUAGGUUCCUCGGAACCCGACCACCUCGAACGUGAGGGUCUCCCUUCGGAAGUUGGAGGGCGUUCCGAAGCAGACGGGAAGGUCGAGUUGUCCGAGGGGCUGGACGCGCUUCCCGGGGAUGAUCCCGUGGAAAGGCGCAGCGCCUGCCCGGACCGAGGACAGAUCAACACGCAGGAGCCCGAGGGUCUCGGCGUAGAUGAUGUUGAGGCUGCUGCCUCCGUCCAUGAGGACCUUGGUGAGCCUGACGUCGCCGAUGACGGGGUCGACGACGAGCGGGUAUUUCCCCGGGCUCGACACGUGGUCGGGGUGGUCGGCUUGGUCGAAGGUGAUGGGCUUGUCGGACCAGUCUAGGUAGACUGGCGCCGCCACCUUCACCGAACAGACAUCCCGACGCUCUUGCUUGCGGUGCCGAGCCGAGGCGUUCGCCGCUUGCCCACCGUAGAUCAUAAAGCAGUCGCGGACCUCGGGGAACUCUCCUGCUUGGUGAUCUUCCUUCUUGUCGUCGUCGCGAGCCCUGCCACCCUCCGUGGGUGGCCCAGCCCUGUGGAAGUGGCGCCGAAGCAUGGCGCACUCCUCAAGGGUGUGCUUGAUGGGCCCCUGAUGGUAGGGGCACGGCUCCUUGAGCAUCUUGUCGAAGAGGUUGGCACCUCCGGGGGGUUUCCGAGGGUUCUUGUACUCGGCGGCGGCGACAAGGUCCGCGUCGGUGGCGUCGCGUUUCGCUUGCGACUUCUUCUUGCCCUUCUUCUUGGCGCCGCACUGAGUUGACGCCUCGGGGGCAUCUUCCGGUGGGUGGCCCUGGGGCUGCUUGUCCUUCCGGAAGAUAGCCUCAACCGCCUCCUGGCCAGAGGCAAACUUGGUGGCGAUGUCCAUCAGCUCGCUCGCCCUGGUGGGGGUCUUGCGACCCAGCUUGCUCACCAGGUCGCGGCAGGUGGUGCCGGCGAGGAACGCGCCGAUGACAUCCGAAUCGGUGAUGUUGGGCAGCUCGGUGCGCUGCUUCGAGAAUCGCCGGAUGUAGUCCCGGAGAGACUCUCCCGGCUGCUGCCUCCAGUUUCGGAGGUCCCAGGAGUUUCCAGGGCGUACGUACGUGCCCUGGAAAUUUCCGGCGAAGGCUUGGACCAGGUCGUCCCAGUUGGAGAUCUGCCCCGGAGGCAGGUGCUCCAACCAGGCGCGAGCGGUGUCGGAGAGGAACAGGGGGAGGUUGCGGAUGAUGAGGUUGUCAUCGUCCGUCCCACCCAGUUGGCAGGCCAGCCGGUAGUCCGCGAGCCACAGUUCCGGUCUCGUCUCCCCCGAGUACUUUGUGAUAGUAGUCGGGGGUCGGAACCGGGUCGGGAACGGCGCCCGUCGUAUGGCGCGGCUGAAAGCCUGCAGACCGGGUGGUUCGGGCGAGGGACUCCGAUCCUCCCCGCUGUCGUAGCGUCCUCCACGCCUGGGGUGGUAGCCUCGGCGCACCCUCUCGUCGAGGUGGGCCCGACGGUCGCGGUGAUGGUGCUCGUUGCCGAGGCGUCCCGAGGCCGCAGGCGCCGUGUUGCGCGUGCGCCCGGUGUGGACCGAGGCUUCCCACAUGAAUCGGGAAGUCGCGGCGUGAUGUUUCGAGGGGUACCCCUGCCUUCGGGAGGCGGAGCUUUCGGCCCGUCGGACCGCGGCGCCCUCCAGGAGAUUCUUGAGCUCUCCCUGGAUUCGCCGCCCCUCGGUGGUUGAUGGCUCCGACAUUGCGCGGAGAAGCAUUGCCGCUGCAGCCAGGUUCUGGCCGACCCCACUGGAAGCGGGUGGUGGCCUUACCCUGACAUCGUCGGCGAUGCGGUGCUGGAUACCCUGGGGCAGAUGACGCAUUUCUCCGGCCGGAGGCUGGCCCGCCCAUUCCUGCCCGACGUCCCGGUGGAUCAGCUCAAGUGCUCCUGCUCCCUCGUCGAGCCUGGCCUGCACCCCGCGGAUUUGCUCAAGCUGUGGGUCAUGACCCCCCGCCUGAACGGGGACCACAGCUAGCUCCCGUAGGAUGUCAACGCGAGGCACAGGCCUAGGGAGAUCACCGUUCUCCGGCAUACCGAGAUGGUUGCCUUCGGAGGGACCCCCUAGAUCGACGUGGAAACAUUCACGACUUGGGCCGCAGUCCUCGUCGCCGAGGCUGCGGCUACCAUCGAAAUAGUCGGAAAGGCAGUAGUCGCAUGCGGUCAUGAAGUCCCGCAUGGCACUGGGGUUACCAAGUCCGGAGAAAUCCCAACAGAAGUCGGGCUCGUCAUCUUCCUCGGACCCCGAGGGCCCGUAGGUCGAGACGUCCGUCAGCCGGUCCCAGGGUGACCGCAUACGAUACCCCAGAGGCUUUGGACUCGCCUCUACGAGAGCGUCCGCUAAAGUGAGGCCGCUUGGUGGGUCGAGGCUGAAUCCAAGGGGCGUGAGAUGGGAAUCGGUCGGUACCUCUUGGUCGACGGGCGGUGAUGAAGUCACGUCAGGGAAUGACUGCACCGUCGUCUUAGGUACGAGGGUGACGCCCAGCAAGCCUUUCGCGAGCGUGCUGGCGUCGUCCGUUUGCUUGGGAUUGGCGCGUUGCGGGGAGAUGGCGCUCGUCUUCGUCUCAGACGCGAGGUCGAUGCCCGACGCGCCCCCCGUUGGGACGCCGGCGCCGUCGACUCGCUCGACAGCCGACGAGGCGCUGCCUCCUGCUUGGCCUUGGUUGCCCCGCCUCCUCCUCCGUCGGUGGGGGAGAGGACGAGGUGAGCUCGAAUGUUGUUCUUCCACCACGCGGGGAAGACGUCGUUGAUUCCGCCGCCGGCGGGCGGGCUGUCGGCCGCCAUUGUCGUUGUCGCACGGCGGGGGAAGGAGUAUCAUGUCGUAGCUGCCAUCGAGGGACAUGAACUCAAGACUCCCGAAACGGAGCACCGUCCCGGGCUGGAAAGGUUGCUGAAGACUGCCCAUCUGGAGCUUGACGGGAAGCUGUUCAUCAACACGCAACAGGCCCCUACCUGGCGCGCCAACUGUCGGCGUUUCGAGACCGGGGGGGUCCCUGGGCCGACGAGUGAAAUGUCGUCGCGUGCCCCGGCCCAGAUGGGUCGGCGCGAGGCCGAGCGCGAAGGGGGGGAAAAGGCGGCCGGAGGCGGGCGUGAGAGAGGUGGAAAUCCCGCGGCCUUCGUGUUCGUCCCGCGCCCAGGUCGGGUGCGCUUGCAGUAGGGGGUUACAAGCGUCAACGCGGGAGAGGGAGCGAGCAGCCUCACGCGAGCGCCUGCCUUGUCCUCGUCCCCGCGCGGCCAACCCUCUGUAAGAGGGCCCUGGUCCUUCCUUUUAUAGGCGUAAGGAGAGGAUCCAGGUGAACAAUGGGGGUGUAGCAAAGUGCUAUCGUGUCUAGCGGAGGAGAGCUAGCGCCCUAAGUACAUGCCAUCUUGGUAGCCGGAGAGGUUUUGGCACCCGGUUCGUGUGGUGUCGUGGCCGUCGGAGGAGCGCUGGAGCCUGGCGGAAGGACAGCUGUUGGGGCUGUCGAGUCCUUGCUGACGUCCUCUUGCUUCCGUAAGGGGGCUAAGUGCUGCCAUCGUCAUAGAGCGUGCGGGGCGCCAUCAUUACUUUGUCUGGCGGAGUGAGCCAGAUGGGACGCCGGUCUUGUUUCCCGUAGCCUGAGUCAGCUCGGGGUAGGGUAAUGAUGGCGCCUCCUGUUGACGUGGCCGGUCCACGCCCUAGGUUGGGCAAUGUGGAGGCUCCUCCGAGGUCGAGGUUGAGUCUGUCUUCUGUGGCCGAGGUCGAGUCCGAGCCCCUGGGUCGGGCGAGGCGGAGACCGUCGGCUGAGGCCAGGGCGGAGUCCGAGCCCUGGGGUCGGGCGAAGCAGAGUUCGUCGUCUUCAGGAGCUGAGCCCGAGUCCGAGCCCUGGGUCGGGCGGAGCGGAGUUCGCCGUCUUCAGGGGCUGAGCCCGAGUCCGAGCCCUGGGUCGGGCGGAGCGGAGUUCACCGUCUUCAGGGGCUGAGCCCGAGUCCGAGCCCUGGGUCGGGCGGAGCGGAGUUCGCCGUUUUCCGGGGCUUAGCCCGAGUCCGAGCCCUGGGUCGGGCGGAGCGGAGUUCGCCGUCUUCCGGAGCUUAGCCCGAGUCCGAGCCCUGGGUCGGGCGAAGCGGAGUUUCCUAUGGUGCCUGAGGCCGGGCCUAGCUGCCUGUCAGCCGCGCUCUGUCGAGUGGCACAGCAGUCGAAGCGGCGCAGGCGGCGUUGUCCUUCUGUCAGGCCGGUCAGUGGAGCGGCGAAGUGACUGCGGUCACUUUGGCUCUGCUGACUGAAGGGCGCGCGUCAGGAUAAAGGUGUCAGGCCACCUUCGCAUUAAAUGCUCCGGCGAUUUGGUCGGUUGGCGCGGCGAUUUGGUCAGGGUUGCUUCUUGGCGAAGAUAGGGCCUCGGGCGAGCCGGAAGUAUGUUCGUCGCUGGAGGGGGGCCUCGGGCGAGACGGAGAUCCUCCGAGGUCGGCUGCCCUUGCCCGAGGCUAGGCUCGGGCGAGGCGUGAUCGAGUCCCUCGAAUGGACCGAUCCCUGACUUAAUCGCACCCAUCAGGCCUUUGCAGCUUUGUGCUGAUGGGGGUUACCAGCUGAGAAUUAGGAGUCUUGAGGGUACCCCUAAUUAUGGUCCUCGACAGCUCUAUAAAAGCAAUAUCCCCCCAAAGAUGUAAAUGUAAAAGCUGAGAACGCACCAUCGAGUGCAAAGAAAAAAGAAAAGAAAACAAGGAGAAGCUCAAAAGUCGUUCCUAAGGGAAUGCAGAGCUUACAGCGAAAAGUCAACGCUGAUUCCGCCGAAGUAAAAGGCGAAGAAGCUCCUAAGGGAGGCUUACAGCGAAAAGUCAACGCUGAUUCCGCUGAAGUAAAAGGCAAAGAAGCUCCUAAGGGAGGCUUACAGCGAAAAGUCAGCGCUGAUACACCGAAAAAUAAACGGUGAAGCCGAAAAAUAAGCGGCAAAGAAGAUUUGAGUCAUUCCCAAGGGAAUGAAGGGUUGGAUUAUGGCUUCGAAUAUGUAUUUGGACAUUCAUUUGCACGAUACAUUACAUCAUGACAUUUGCAUUCAUAAACAUUCACUUAGACAUACAUAAGAUCAUCAUCAGUAUAACAUACAAACUUGCUUCGGUUCCGAAAGGAAGGUAAUUUUAUGCUUCGUUGUGUAUGCAAAGAAGGGAAGGUGUUUUUUCUCUUAUGGCUCAAAAGUAUUAAUUUCGUCCACACCAAAGCAUUUCAUACAUGGACGGAAAAGUAAGAUUAUAUUACAAAGUGAAACUCAAGUUACAUCAUACUUUAUACAAGUUUUUACAGAAGUUUUUUGAGCUAUUUUUACAGAUUAUUCAAGCUUCGACAACAUCUCUGGAGCUUCGUCCUUUUACUCUGCAGCUUCAACUUCGGCUUGGUCAAUCUGUACAGAAGUAUUGUAAGCUAAAUUCAUAAUUCAAAGGAAAAGGUAAGCAUAAUGUAUGAUUUUGUUACCAGCUUGAGGUGGCUCCGAGCUUCGUCACCAGCUUUGCUCCGACCACCCUUUGUCCAUACUAACUUUAUAAAUCUAUUUACAAUACUCCGAGCCAGAUUGGGAACAUUAUCUAGGUCUGCUGGUGACAGGCUGAAGUUGGGUCUAUUAACAAUCUUUUCGUGUUCACAGCCAGACUUCAAAAAGGCAACAGCUGUGCCCCGAGAAGCUGCCAGGGCACAAAAGUCGCUAUGCCCAGCUAUAACUUCGUCAAGAUCAUUAAUUUCACCCUCAAUGUGCUCAAAGGCACUAGGCAGGUCUUCAGCUGAAGGAGUAAACUCUUCACUACUGGCUCCAACAAAAUGGAACACUUGCUUUAACUGAUGAAUGCAUCGACUGCUGAACUCCAUGCACUUAUUCUGAAGAUUUUUCAAAGAUUCUUUCAAUUCCGAAUUUCUUUGAGCUUCGGCUUCGAGUUUUGCAUCAAGCUUCAGCUUUUCUUGUUCGAAAUUUUCUGAUUGGAAAAGAAGCUUCGAAUUUAAUUCUGUUAUUUUUGCUUCAGCGUCCACUAAUAAGCCUUCAGCUGUUUGUAGCUCGAAGUCUUUCUUCUCGAUGGCAGCAGAUUGCUCUUUUAUCUUGUUUUCUAAGUUUUCAAUUAUAACUUCGUGCCUUUUAUCCUCUAAGUCUUGCUGCAUUUUUAAUGUCUUGCUCAAAAGUAUACUCUGCGGACAAAUAACCUUCGUUAGAAAAUAUUUCUGUGGCCGCAAAUAAUAGCAGUUAAACAACAGUUAAACACAAGAUAUUUACCUUAAAAUUAGAAUAGAACAAGCUGUUGACAAUGGGUUGUCGUCGGUAGCGGCUUAUAUCCGCUUCGAGCUUCGGGAAGCCGAUACUCUUUGAUAGAGUACCGACAACCUUCGCACCGGUUUGAUCUCGUAUGCAGCCUAACCCUUCAUCAUCAAUACCACCGAAGAGAAGCGCCCUCGGCCGGUACCCGCAAGAUAUAGCAUACUCUUUUAAUUCUUCUUUUUCAGCUUCUGGCCAACUAAGUUUCGGAAGUCAAAAGUUUCAUCUUCUGAAGUGUCUUCGGUUAUUCCUUCUUUCUCGGGUUUUGCGGCCGUGGUCUCUUCGGUGGCUGCAGCAGUUUCUUCAGCGGCCAUGUUUAGCAGCAUUUUAUCUAUAUCAGCAGCUAUGCUCUCUAAAUUAAUAUCUUCGGAGUUGGCAUCUUCGGCUCUGGUUUCUUCUGCGGCAACCUCUGAAGGUGCAGCUUCGGUAGCUGUUGUGCCUUCAAUCGCCAGCACCUUCGGAGCUGGAGCUCUUGGUGGUGUUGUUUCAAUCACUUCUGUCACGGUAACAAUCCUUUGUCUUUUUGGCCUAGAUGCCUUUGUUUUUGUGGGCUCCUUUUCAUUAUGAAAAAGCUUCGUCAGAUGAAGCCCCAAUGGACUUAGUUUGACAGGCAAAGUUUCAGUCAUUACCUUUAGAAUUUCCUCUAUUUCAGCAUCAGAAGAUGUUGCAGAAGUCUUCUCUUCUUCAUCAAUUGAUUUUUGCUCUGGGAUCGAGUCCUUUCUUUUCUUCGAAGCUAAUACUUUCGCUUCAAACUUUUGUUUCUUCUUCUUUGAUUGAUCUUCGUCGUCUUUGUUCAAAGCGCCAGCCACUCUUUUUCUUUUCUGCCCUUCGGCACCCUUGUUGAGUCGUUCAUAAUCAGGAUAUUCAAAGCCUAUAGCAUCCAGCACUCUGUUUAGCCUUCGUUUCGGACGGGUGCCGAAGGCUGCUGUCAUCAAUUGAUCUUCUUUUUUAGAAUAAUUCCCAAGAAUUUCGGUGCACAUUACUUCGAUUGUUUCCAGCCAUUCUUGGCAGGGCGCUUUGAAAUAUUUCUUGAAUUUGUAGUGGUAGGGCAGUCGGACAAGUUCCCCCUCUUUCUUCUCUCCUUCAAGCUUCGGCAUAGCCCAUUCCUUCAUAGUUGGAAAUAUUUUGAAAGCAAAAAAUUCCUGCACUAAGUCCCUAGUGCCAAUGUGCUCUGCGAUAAUCCUGAAUUCAGCCAGCGCAGUUUGGGUUGGACCUUCUGGUGUCAUAUUGCAUUGGGGUCUGGUCUCUCCGAAGAUCAAUUCUAGCGGACUCUGCACCAGUUUCUCCUUGUCAUCGUCAAAUUUGACGUAGAACCAUUCUGAUUUCUAGCCUGCCGGCCACUUGCUUCGGUAGCUGAUCACAGGAAAUUUUGUAGUCUUCCGGUAAGCAAAUUUGUAACAACCAAAAUUUUCAUGUAAUCCAUCCUUUCUGGCCUUGGUUUGGUAAUGUAGCUCGUGCACCCGGCAGAAACCUUCGGCAAACGGUUCCACCCCCUGGCUUCGGAGAGCCCAAAUAUAAACACUAAGCCUAACGAUAGCGUUAGGAGUUAGUUGAUGAAAGUGGAUCCCAAACUUAUUUAGCACAUCGGCAAUCAUCUUAUUUAAAGGGAAUCUUAAACCAGCUUUGAGAAAACUCUUGAAAACUACUAUUUCAUCUUUUUCUGGCUUCGGAGUAGUUUCCUCUCCACCGAAGCGAAUCAGCUCUUUCUUAUCUUCGCUGAAAUAGCCCAGCUUCACCAUCUUAGGAAAAUCAGCUUCAGAGAUGGUGGACUUUCCGAAGUCCAGGUGGCUAGGCUUGCUCGGCACUGCGCUGCUGUAAUCAUCUUCAGAAUCGGUCUCUUCAAUACCAGCUUGCUCUGCUUCAGUAGUAGGGACGUCUUCCGGUGUUACCAACCCAGAUCGCUUCAUUGCCUCCGAAAUAGGAACAGUCUCAGCAGCUUCGGUCUAAUCUCCAUCACGAUCGACCCUUGCAGUAGAGCGAACUCUGGCCAUUUGAUUAUGACUUGAAAAUUUUGGUGUUGGCUUUUUUGUCUUUUCCGAAGCUCUUACUCUUGUGCCGAAGCAGAUUCACAAGCGAGGUUUCGUCUGAGCACGAUGAUCAAGCUUCGGCUAUGACUAAAAAUUUGGCAGCAAAACAGUACAAUAGCAAUGAAUGUUGUGGUAACUUCACACCUACCCGUCUGUUUAUAUAGUGCUGCAGGUGGGAAGGUAAAUCGACAGGGUCUCCAGCACCGAGCAAACAGUCACCCGCACUCACUGAACGGUGGGCCACAUAGUUCGAGAAGGUGAAUCGUCGGCGAGCGCGUAAUUGGUGCAAGAUGGGUCGCGCGCGCGGCGAUUAUUUUAAUCGUUUCUCACCAACGAACUCAGGGAAGGUGUUUUUUUGGAUCUUCGGCAUCCCGAAGCCUAGAAGAUUUUUCACGGAUCAAGCUCGUUACGAAAAACGAUCUAGCAUCGUGAAGGGGCUACUGUUGGGGGUAUGCUUCGUAGCCGAAGAUCCUAAAGAAAGAAACACCUUCGACAGAUCCUCUCCAAAGCAGUGCCGAAGCUAUCGCCUAUAAAGCUUCGGCACAGUGACAUGUCUCAAGACGAAGGGGUGAACCGACUUAAAGAUGAAACGACUUAAAGACCCAUGAUAUUCUGUGUCAUUAUUGUAGUAGCUUGUAAAGGGCAUAAAUGUAAUUAUACACAGGCUGCGCCCUGUGCCUAUAAAUAGGUGAACAGUACCCCUGUACUGUUCACGAAAUCCUGUAAUCACUGACACGUCGCGCUUGGAUUAUUGCUUUCCGCCAAGGCGAAGGUAUAAAUGUGCCUAAAUAUUAUGUUAUAAUGUUUGUAUAUUCAUAUAAUAAAAUAUGUGAAUAAGGUUACUUAUUCUUAGUAUAUCUCUCUAUAAUGUUUCAUUUUUAUAUUUUAUUUCGUAUUGUUUUACAAGUCUGACCACGAAGGUGUGACCUUCGUGGUAUUUUGCUCAUGGCCUUCGUCCGAAGUUCAUUAAAUCCUCGGGGAGAUAAUGCUUCAGCGGACGAAGGACAUUAAUAUUUAACAUUUUAUGCUGCCUUGUUCUAAUUCAUAGCACUUGAGAACAAGUCCCCAACAUUUAAUAUUACAAAUAUGAUUUCAAAACAUAAAUAUCCAUGCCAAAUAUAGACCGAAUUCAUCAUAUUUAAAAUCAUAUGCACACCUCACAAUAAUCAUAUCCAUGGACCAUCAGUCAGUCUAAACCAUGUCUAAUCAUAUCGACCACUUAAUCGUGUCAUAUGCUCGUGCCACCCCACCGUACGUGUUAGGGUGGCGUCCAAGACGUGGUACUGACUUCGAUCAUGUCGUGCGACACGCCACACAUGCACUAUUUAUUAUAUAGUGCACAUGCCUUACCGAAGCACUACGGAUCAGGUCAAGUCCGACCUAUUUAGCACAAUCCACUUGGCCAUCUAUAGUUGGAGUUAGAAAAAGUUGCCUGACCCACAAGUAGGAAUCACAUGGAUCUAUUUUUGGUGCCCUGAAGUCUACAUAGUGUGGCCUCGCCCAAGGAAGCUUGCCAUGCCACCAACCAAACAAACCCGUCCAUCGCAUGAACACAAUUAUUACUAGUGAUCCACAAUCACAGAUGUCAGAGGUUCCAUGGAUACAUUUUGCAUACUCAUUUCCUAACACAAUGGUCAUUUGGAUGUUGCGCCACUUUGCUUUAACAUGCAUGCAUAAUGAACCUAUAUUUUUUACUUUCUGUUUUUCACCUUAUUAAUUGUUGUAAAUUAGUAUGCACGUGUUAAGCUCAAACCAUAUAGUGUGUAUUUUAUAUCGUCUUUAUUGAUUUUUUUCUAUGUUUUUAUUAAAAUAUAGUUAGGCCCUAGACUUUAUUUACUCCUAAUCAAUAUAUAUAUAUAUAUAUAUAUAUGUGUGUGAUGACGACGAUAAUGAUGACGAUAAAUACUAGCUAAAUGUCACUGUGUGGUUCACAUGACCAUCUCCAUCUAUAAACAUAUGUACUCCAAUUAAUAUGACAAGUUUUUCUGUCUAAUGUGAGUAAGUUGGUGCCGGCCGGCCAUAGCAAUUAUUAGGAACGUCGGGGGCCCUCGCAUAUUGGAUGCAUGCUUGGCUAGCGCGCUUGAAAACAAAACUGCGUGCGGCCAUGAUGUUCUUCAGACACCUAACAUCGCGUGUCCGUGUGUGUGUGUUUUUGUAUGCCGAUCGAGCUAGCUAGUGCGUGGCUACCAGCUGCAGCACUGUAUUCCCCUCUAGCACUAGCAGCUAGUGUCUGCGUGGACGAAAAUACAAGUUCGGCAUCCGGUUUUGGAUGUUUUCCUUUGUGUUAGUUCGGUUCGCCUAGUAGCAUGCACUAGUGAUGAGUGAUGACCGACCGACCGACAUGCAGUGCAGGAAGAAAGAAGGCAUCAGCAAGCAAGGCCCUAUAAAUAAUGCAUGCAUGGACUAUUCGCUUUGCACACAACAGGCACUUGUGACGAGCAGCAAGGAAGCGGCAGGUAUAUCUAUCUAUAUAGUAGAGUAGGCUAGCAGGUACCGCGCAGCUAGCCAUGGCUGCCUCUGCUUCUUGCCUGCUUAGCCUCUUGGUGGUGGUGGUGCUGGCGGCGCUGGCCUCGGCGCAGCUUUCGUCGACGUUCUACGACACGUCGUGCCCCAGCGCGCUGUCCACCAUCAGCAGCGGCGUGACCGCGGCGGUGGCGCAGGAGGCUCGCGUGGGGGCGUCGCUGCUCAGGCUGCACUUCCACGACUGCUUUGUGCAGGCAAGUAGCAGCUAAAUUAACUAAGUAGAUCGGAAUUAAUUUCUGACAUCUAUCAUAUCCAGCAGGGCUGCGACGCGUCCGUUCUGCUGAACGACACGUCCGGGGAGCAGAACCAGAUUCCGAACCAGACUCUGAAUCCUAGGGGCUUCGAUGUCUUUGACAGCAUCAAGGCGCAGGUGGAGGCGGUGUGCCCGGGGAUCGUCUCCUGCGCCGACAUCCUCGCCGUAGCCGCCAGGGACGGAGUGGUCGCGGUGAGAUAUACUAUCAUUAAUUAAUUAGAUAUAUGCUGUCAUGAUCAGCAUGCUGUAGUGUAGCUAGCGUUAGUUAAUUAGCCAGCAGCUAGCUGAUGAUGCUUUGCUGUGUUGGUUGGUUUAAUUUCCAGCUCGGCGGGCCUUCGUGGACAGUUGCACUGGGGAGAAGGGACUCCACUGCUUCGUUCCCGGCACAGACGAGCGACCUCCCGCCUCCUACGUCCAGCCUCCAGCAGCUUCUGCGCGCGUAUAGCAAAAAGAAUCUCAACCAAACCGACAUGGUUGCUCUCUCAGGUGCCUCCGAUCGAUCAUAGCUAGCAGCUAUAGCUUAUUAGCUACUGAUCGACGAUGACGAUGACGAUAUAUAUGCAUGCAUAUGAAGGUGCUCACACGAUCGGACAGGCGCAGUGCUUGAGCUUCAACGACCACAUCUACAACGACACCAACAUCAACCCCGCCUUCGCCAUGUCGCUGAGGACCAACUGCCCCGCGUCCGGCAGCAGCAGCCUGGCGCCUCUGGACGCCAUGACGCCCACCGCUUUCGACAACGCCUACUACACCAACCUGCUGUCCCAGAGGGGCCUCCUGCACUCGGACCAGGAGCUCUUCAACAACGGCAGCGCCGACAGCACGGUCAGCAGCUUCGCGGCCAACGCCGC
rnacentral:lncRNA from 1 species